rnacentral:lncRNA from 1 species
CGGCCGCCCCCGCGGAGCGCCCGGCCUGGGGCACCUCCCGGCCCGGGAAACCCACGGAGAAUCGCCGGGAGCGGCGCGGUGGCUUCUAGCCUGUCGCCCGGUGCGAUGCGCGGCCGGGGGCUGCGCGCCUCUCCGCGGCUCGCCCCGCGGGACAGCGCCAAAAUAGCGGCCCCGCCUGAAACACCCCGGGGCGGCAGGGGAGAGUCCGGCUCUGCUCUAGCCCAGCGCUGCCCGCGGGCCGUGAGCUCCGCGGGAGAGGGGCAGGCGGGGCAGGGCAGCCCGCGGACCGGGAGCGCUUCUGCCCACCGCUUCGCUCGCGAUGAGCGGCCGCGCACUUUCAGCCGAGCCCAAAGCCGUACGCGAGUCCCCGAGCUUAACGCAGUGGAGCUCAGAGCGGCGGGUCGUAGAGAGAACAACCCGAUGUCUCAGAAAUCUUACGUCGUUCUUAGCCACUGUAUACAAAUUUUGGAGAGUUUCCUGGCAAAUUACAGCAGCAUCCUACAGCAAGCUGACAAAGAGAUUCCAGGAAUGCCACGCAUCUAG